rnacentral:rRNA from 1 species
ACGAACGUUGGCGGCGUGGAUUAGGCAUGCAAGUCGAACGAGAACGGGUAGCAAUACCCGGGGAAAGUGGCGAAAGGGGCAGUAAGGCGUGGGUAACCUACCCUGGGGAUGGGCACAGCCGGCCUAACGGCCGGGUAAUUCCCAGCGAUGUAGCGGGCGGGCAUCCGCAAGCUACGAAACGAGUUUCGCCUCGGGAGGGGCUCACGUGAUAUUAGCUAGUUGGUGAGGUAACGGCCCACCAAGGCUAAGAUGUCUAGCGGGUGUGAGAGCACGACCCGCGCCACUGGCACUGAGACACUGGCCAGACUCCUACGGGAGGCUGCAGCCGAGGAUCUUCGGCAAUGGGCGCAAGCCUGACCGAGCGACGCCGCGUGUGCGAUGAAGGCCUUCGGGUUGUAAAGCACUGUCGAGGGGAGGAAAGCCGCAAGGUUGACCGACCCCUGGAGGAAGCACGGGCUAAGUUCGUGCCAGCAGCCGCGGUAAGACGAACCGUGCGAACGUUGUUUCGGAAUCACUGGGCUUAAAGGGCGCGUAGGCGGGCCGGAUAGUCUGUGGUGAAAGCCCCCAGCUUAACUGGGGAAGUGCCGUGGAUACUACCGGCCUCGAGGAGGGUAGGGGCAUCUGGACGCUGGGUGGUGCGGUGAAAUGCGUUGAUAUCCAGCGGAACUCCGGUGGCGAAGGCGAGGUGCUGGACCCUUUCUGACGCUGGGGGCGCGAAAGCCAGGGGUAGCGAACGGGAUUAGAUACCCCGGUAGUCCUGGCCCUAAACGAUGGGGUACUAGGUAGUGGGCUCUAACAUGGGUUCACUGCCGGAGCAAAGUGCUAAGUACCCCCGCCUGGGGAGUAUGGUCGCAAGGGCUGAAACUCAAAGGAAUUGACGGGGGCUCACACAAGCGGUGGAGCAUGUGGCUUAAUUCGAGGCUACGCGAAGAACCUUAUCCUGGGCUUGACAUGUCCGAAAGGGGCAAGAAGUAGGGGCCGGAAAACGGUACCCGAACGGUAUCCUGUCCGGAAGCUGCCACAGGUGCUGCAUGGCUGUCGUCAGCUCGUGUCGUGAGAUGUCGGGUUAAGUCCCAUAACGAGCGAAACCCCUGCCUCCAGUUGCCAGCGAGUAAAGUCGGGGACUCUGGAGGGACUGCCGGCGUCAAGCCGGAGGAAGGGCGGGGACGACCGUUCAAGUCAUCAUGGCCUUUAUGUCCAGGGCUGCACACGUGCUACAAUGCCCGUGAACAGAGGGACGCAAAACGCGCGAGCGGAGAGCAAAUCCCCAAAAACACGGCCCAGUUCAGAUCGAAGGCUGCAACUCGCCUUCGUGAAGCCGAAUCGCUAGUAAUCGCGGGUCAGCAACACCGCGGUGAAUGUGUUCCUGAGCCUUGUACACACCGCCCGUCAAGCCACGAAAGGGAGGGACGUCCGAAGUCGGCUUUACCGCCGCCGAAGACGGACUUCCUGAUUGGGACU